AACGAACGCUGGCGGCAGGCCUAACACAUGCAAGUCGAGCGAGGACUUCGGUCCUAGCGGCGGACGGGUGAGUAACGCGUGGGAACGUGCCCUUUGCUUCGGAAUAGCCCUGGGAAACUGGGAGUAAUACCGGAUGAGCCCUUUGGGGGAAAGAUUUAUCGGCGAAGGAUCGGCCCGCGUUGGAUUAGGUAGGUGGUGGGGUAAUGGCCUACCAAGCCGACGAUCCAUAGCUGGUUUGAGAGGAUGAUCAGCCACACUGGGACUGAGACACGGCCCAGACUCCUACGGGAGGCAGCAGUGGGGAAUCUUAGACAAUGGGGGAAACCCUGAUCUAGCCAUGCCGGGUGAGCGAUGAAGGCCUUAGGGUUGUAAAGCUCUUUCAGCUGGGAAGAUAAUGACGGUACCAGCAGAAGAAGCCCCGGCUAACUCCGUG
rnacentral:rRNA from 1 species